GGCUCACUGGCUAGCCUUUGCUCUUCAGCUAGGCUCACUGGCUAGCCUUUGCUCUUCAGCUGGGCUCACUGCCUAGCCUCUCCUCUUCAGCUGGGCUCAGUGGUCUAUGGGGUCCUAGCACAUUGCUUAACCAUCUGCUCAUGACUGCCUGACCACACUGACCACCUGACCGCACUUAUUUCUUAAAGCCAUUCUCUAGAAAGAGCACAAGAAACCAAAGAGAAACACCACCGGGACCUUUUCCCAUGGGCUCCGCUUAACCUUAAGUACUUUUGUUACUGCUUUAAAAAAGUGAAAUACAAUUUCUGCUAUUCAUAUGGCCAAGAGAGCUGUGCAGUAGUCGUUGCUUUAUGGAAUUUGGUGCUAAAUCAAAAGAUUCCUUUAUUCUAUUACAAUGUUAUCUGUAUGUUGUACGAUGUAUCUUUAGAAAACACAACACUAAAUUCCUAAAAUUUACAUGUUUUAAGACAUCAGCUCAUGGAGAAACAUAACUGCUUACCUAUCUAGACUGACCUUUUUUGCUAUAUUGCAGGUAUAAUCAAGUUUCUACACUACUUCCAUGAUUUUCAAGAAGGCUUAAGACAAAAAUAACUUGAACAUAAUGGCCAGAAAGGGGAUUCUGUCAAGUUGUCUUAUGUGGGACAAGAUACCAAGAUAUGACUGGUAAACCUAAAACCACCUGUUCCCAAAACUAACAGAACUUAUAGAAAAUACAUACUUUCUUACCAUUCCUCUGCCCUGAUGGUUAAGUGAUUUAUUGAGCACCUACUAUGAUCUUAGCACUGUGCAUCUAAGGGUGAAAUGGUGAAUAAAAAACUUAAUAAAAAGCUUCAUUAAGGAAUAAAGAAAAAUGAAACAUAACUUUGAAACUCAGAUUCCAUUUAAGCAACACUACGAUUUCUUAACUGGUGAUUUCUGAAAAUUUCAUCAUUUUUACAUGGGCUUCAACAGUAAUGAUACUCAGUCUCGAUUUUGUUAGUCGCAAAUAUGCAAGUCACACUUCUUUCUUGGCUCCCACAACUGUCAACGGGAACAACACUGUCACUGUCCAUUGUGCUUCCCUAUCAAUCCUGCUAUGGAUGGUAUAAAUUCGAGUCUUUUAAAUGUGAAUACAGGCCACCAAAAAUCCUUGAGGGCAAAUUACACAAACCGGUAUAUUCUCUAAAACAUUCACAUAGGAUUUUACUGAUAUCACAAUGCAAAUUCACCAAAAAUAUUUAACCAAUAAAAGCAGAAAUAUUGAAUAGGUCUACAAAUAGGAUGGAUAAUCAUAUAUACUUGAAAACAACUAUCAUGGGAACAAAGGAUGUACUAGGAGAUAAGAUACAUCACUAAAAGCUACACAAGCAGCAAAAAAGACACUACAUUUCUUGGUUUAAAAGUUAGGUGAUACACUUGAUCUUUAAAGACAGGCAAUGAACUUGAUCUUGAAGCUCUCCAACUGUGCCCUGUCCGCAUAGAAACUGAAGCAGUAGAUGACAAGGCUAGAUGCAGUUUUACAAUGGCCUCUUUUUUUUUUUUUUU
rnacentral:sRNA from 1 species